rnacentral:rRNA from 1 species
GAUGAACGCUGGCGGCGUGCCUAAUACAUGCAAGUCGAGCGAACAGAUCUGGAGCUUGCUCUUCUGACGUUAGCGGCGGAUGGGUGAGUAACACGUGGAUAACCUACCUAUAUGACUGGGAUAACUUCGGGAAACCGGAGUUAAUACCGGAUAAUAUUUUGAACCGCAUGGUCUAAUAGUGAAUGACGGUUUUGCUGUCACCUAUAGAUGGAUCAGCGCGGCAUUAGGUAGUUGGUAAGGUAACGGCUUACCAAGGGAGCGAUGCGUAGCGGACUCGAGCGCGGGAUGGGGCACAUAGAGAGUGACAGGCCCUCCAGGCUCAUAGGGUAGGCACCGAUAGCGAAGCUUCCGCACUGGGCGAAAUCCUGGCGAAGCAGCGGCGGCUGGAUGAUGAAAGGCUGCGGGUCGUAAGACUCUGUUAUUAGUGUAGAACAAUUAUGUAAGUAACGAUGCACUGCUUGACGGUAGCUGAUCAGGAAGCCACGGCUAACUACGUG